rnacentral:snoRNA from 1 species
CCCCUUCUGAAAAGCACUUGCUGGGUCUGUGGUCAGUGACUCAAGUGAGUUGUCGUGGAAGGGCAUAAAAAAGGCACCACUUUUGGGUGAGGUGGCGGCAUGUGCUGUUAACUUCAAUGAGCGGUGUGACAGUG